GCCGAAGUGGUGGAAUUGGCAGACGCGCCAGACUCAAAAUCUGGUGUCCUUCGCGGACGUGCGGGUUCGACUCCCGCCUUCGGCACCA
rnacentral:tRNA from 1 species